UCUUUGCACCCCAGUGUUGCUCUCCAUUCACUCAUCCUUCGUGCUGCUCUCGCGCUACCCUGCAGUAUCGUCGUCCUCAUCCUGUCCUCGUGCUACCUGGCGUUCCGCGUGUGCACCCUGGAGGAGCAGCUGUCCUUCCUCAACACCAAGCUGGCCCAGCAUGUAAGGGAGAGGUGAGGACCCCCGGACCCCGGCGCUUCGGACGCUAGGCGGCAGCGGCAAGCGCCGCGCCCUGCGACCGCCGAAUCCGUACUGCGGCAGUACGUCGAAAUGGCUGCGGAUCCAGCUCCGAUCGUCUUCUGCCGAAGGUAACCCCUGCUCCUGGCUGCACCCCCCAGGAAGUCCCGCCUCAGAGGACACGCCCCCGCGUGCACUAAC
rnacentral:lncRNA from 1 species